GCCUGGGUGGCUCAGUUGGUUCAGCAACUGACUUUGGCUCAGGUCAUGACCUCGCAGUCUGUGAGUUCAAACCCCACAUUGGGCA
rnacentral:tRNA from 1 species